rnacentral:lncRNA from 1 species
CAAAUUGAAGGGGUAAAUCCAACCUAAAUCGAAAUCCAAGCACGAAUUCAUGAUCACCUCGAUGAAGGGAUCAUAAGGUAUGCCAAAUUUCAUUAUUUAGUUCCAUCUUGAAUUCUUGGUGAACAUAUGAAAUCAAAAAUUUGGCUUGCAUGAUUAAAGUUUGGAUGAAUUUAGGAUGAAAUCACGUCUAGGAGUAAACCCUAGUCAAUAACUAGUUGAAUUAGUGUUGAAAUUAUAAAGUUCAUGAUCAUCCAUUAUGGGUGUUUAAAUGGGUUUUGUAGAAACAUGAUGAACACUAGAACCAUGAUUGUCAAACUAGUGUUAUUUAAACUUUAUGAAGUUAAUCUUGACAUUUAACCAUGAAUUUGAUGAUCUUCUAGUAAAAGAUGUUGAAAUUGGCAAGAUAGGUAGCCAUAAGUUUGAUUGUUAAAUUCUAUAAAAGAAUGCCCAUUAGGUGUUUGUUAAAAUGCCUAAAUGAGAAGUAAAGUGGUGAAAUUCAAGUGAAACGCGUAAUUGGCAAGCUUGACUAAUCACAUGAGAUAUGGGAUAAAACGGGUUCUAAUCAUAAUGUUGAUUUGCCUUAAUCGUGCAUAUUAUAUGAUUAAAGGUAGUUGACUUUAGAAAGUCGAACUAACCUAUGAUGAAGUCGAAUAGAAGUUUCGACAUAAAGUCCGUAAG